rnacentral:rRNA from 1 species
GAUGAACGUUAGCGGCAGGCCUAAUACAUGCAAGUCGAACGCUCAGUAGCAAUACUGGGAGUGGCGCACGGGUGCGUAACGCGUACACAAUCUACCUCUAAGCGGGGGACACCUCCUGGAAACGGGGAUUAAUACCGCAUAAUAUGCCGAAGUCGCAUGACUUUGGUAUUAAAGCAGCAAUGCACUUAGAGAUGAGUGUGCGUCCCAUUAGGUAGUUGGUGAGGUAACGGCUCACCAAGCCUAUGAUGGGUAGCCGGUCUGAGAGGAUGGUCGGCCACACGGGCACUGAGACACGGGCCCGACUCCUACGGGAGGCAGCAGUAAGGAAUAUUGGUCAAUGGUGGAAACACUGAACCAGCCAUGCCGCGUGGAGGAAUAAGGUCCUACGGAUUGUAAACUCCUUUUGACGAGGAAGAAAAUGUUAGAUUUAUCUAAUUUUGACGGUACUCGUAGAAUAAGCACCGGCUAACUCCGUGCCAGCAGCCGCGGUAAU